rnacentral:rRNA from 1 species
UACAUGGGGUGCAAACGUUGCUCGGAAUUAUUGGGCGUAAAGCGCACGUAGGCGGCUUGUUAAGUCGGAUGUGAAAUCCCUCGGCUCAACUGAGGAAGUGCAUCCGAAACUGGCAGGCUUGAGUACUAAAGAGGGUCGCGGAAUUCCCGGUGUAGAGGUGAAAUUCGUAGAUAUCGGGAGGAACACCGGUGGCGAAGGCGGCGACCUGGGUAGAUACUGACGCUGAGGUGCGAAAGCGUGGGGAGCAAACAGG